rnacentral:rRNA from 1 species
GAUGAACGCUAGCGGCAGGCCUAAUACAUGCAAGUCGAACGAUAUUAAGGGGCUUGCUCCUUAAGAAAGUGGCGCACGGGUGCGUAACGCGUAUGCAACCUACCUUAAUCAGGGGGAUAGCCCGAAGAAAUUCGGAUUAACACCGCAUAAAAACACAGGAUAGCAUUAUCCAAUGUUCAAAUAUUUAUAGGAUUAAGAUGGGCAUGCGUGUCAUUAGCUAGUUGGCGGGGUAACGGCCCACCAAGGCGACGAUGACUAGGGGAUCUGAGAGGAUGCCACCCCAAACUGGUACUGAGACACGGACCAGACUCCUACGGGAGGCAGCAGUAAGGAAUAUUUGUCAAUGGAGGCAACUCUGAGCCAGCCAUGCCGCGUGCAGGAAGACUGCCCUAUGGGUUGUAAACUGCUUUUAUCCGGGAAUAAACCUUUCUACGUGUAGGAAGCUGAAUGUACCGGAAGAAUAAGGAUCGGCUAACUCCGUGCCAGCAGCCGCCGUAAAAC